rnacentral:misc_RNA from 1 species
UGUGUAUAAUUUAGUUAUACUAUUCAGUCAAAUUAAUUAUAAUGGUUAUAAAAUGUUUUUUUAAUAAACUUUAAAACUCCCGACUUACAAUCAACCACCCUUCAAAAAAAAUGAUGACUGCGGUAAUUAAAAGUCAUUAACUGUUGGUGCGCAAUUAUUAUGCUAGUCAACACUAACAAGCAAUACACCAACAAAUUUUUGUGGUUAAAUUCACGCGGUUACAAAGGUAGAAUAGAGAAUUAAGCAGUGAGAUAAAUUAAAAUCUUCACUAACUAUAUUUCCCAUUUUUCUGUUAAUGAUCCUUCCGCAGGUUCACCUACGGAAA